GUGGGGAAUCUUCCGCAAUGGACGAAAGUCUGACGGAGCAACGCCGCGUGAGUGAUGAAGGUCUUCGGAUUGUAAAGCUCUGUUAAUCGGGACGAAAGAGCCUAGUGUGAAUAAUGCUAGGAAGUGACGGUACCGGAAUAGAAAGCCACGGCUAACUACGUGCCAGCAGCCGCGGUAAUACGUAGGUGGCAAGCGUUGUCCGGAAUUAUUGGGCGUAAAGCGCGCGCAGGCGGAUCUGCCAGUCUGUCUUAAAAGUUCGGGGCUUAACCCCGUGAUAGGAUGGAGACUACAGAUCUAGAGUAUCGGAGAGGAAAGUGGAAUUCCUAGUGUAGCGGUGAAAUGCGUAGAUAGUAGGAAGAACACCAGUGGCGAAGGCGACUUUCUGGACGAAAACUGACGCUGGGGCGCGAAAGCCAGGGGAGCGAACGGGAUUAGAUACCCGAGUAGUCC
rnacentral:rRNA from 1 species